rnacentral:lncRNA from 1 species
GUCCUUUUUGAUUGAUUCAACAUAAGGUUUGAAUUUCAAAUGGUCUGAUUCUGACCUGGUUUAGCAAAACCGUUUUGUCUUUUUAUAUUACAUCAAUUCUUCAACAUCUCAUAUAGGUUAUGGUUUUGGUUUUUGAAAUGUUUUGAUCUUAACUGCUACUGAAACAACAUUAAUUGUCAAAAUGCAUAUCUGGUGCAUUAAAAGU